GCAUCAUUUAAGGUGUGUUUAUGCUUACCUUAAAAUCAUUUUUGAUGUGACUCACAUUUUUAUGCUCUUGUUGUAUCAUGUUUCCAUUGUAUUGCAAAUUCCAAUUAGAUUUUUCCUCUAGUGCACAAUACAUAAUAAGCUGGCCUCCUGAU